rnacentral:rRNA from 1 species
UCUUACCAAGAAAAACUUCCUUGGAAGCUAAGCAAGGUCGGGCCUGGUUAGUUCUUGGAUGAGAGACCACCCAGGAAGACCAGGUGCUGUAGGCA